UACGUAGGCAGCGAGCGUUGUUCGGAGUUACUGGGCGUAAAGGGUGUGUAGGCGGUUGUUUAAGUUUGGUGUGAAAUCUCCCGGCUCAACUGGGAGGGUGCGCCGAAUACUGAAUGACUUGGAGUGCGGGAGAGGAGAGUGGAAUUCCUGGUGUAGCGGUGAAAUGCGUAGAUAUCAGGAGGAACACCGGUGGUGUAGACGGCUCUCUGGACCGUAACUGACGCUGAGACACGAAAGCGUGGGUAGCGAACAGG
rnacentral:rRNA from 1 species